UGAUGCGGGAGCGCCGGGCUCUGAGAGCGCAGCGCCAUGCCGAGCCAGGGAAGCGGCGUGUCGCGACGCAGAAGCAGAAGCUGGCACCAUGCGCCUGCCGCCGUGGGAGAUCGCACUGCCGCCUCUGCGUUCUUCUCUAGUCGCCACAGCCGCCACUUACUGCCUGCUGCUCCUGCAAGUGGACGCCUAUUUCGGUCUGACCGGAAAAGAAACCUUGACUCAGUUUCCACUGCUGGGAUCUUCAACAAAUCCUGCCCAUUGGAAGGCUCACUUGAAGCAAUGUGACCUGCUGAGGCUUUCCCAGAAGCAAAAGAGGCUUUGUCGUCGGGAGCCAGGGCUGGCCGAGACUUUACGGGAUGCCAUUCGGCUUGGCGUCCUCGAGUGCCAGUACCAGUUCCGCAAUGAGCGUUGGAACUGCAGCCUCGAUGGGAGGGCGAACCUGUUGAAAAGAGGUUUCAAGGAAACAGCGUUUCUCUAUGCAGUGUCUUCAGCAGCAUUAACUCAGUCCCUUGCUCGAGCAUGCAGUGCUGGGCGAAUGGAACGCUGUACCUGUGACGAUUCACCUGACUUAGAGAACCGCAAAGCCUGGCAGUGGGGUGUGUGUGGUGACAACCUCAAGUAUAGCAUCAGGUUCCUGAAGAAUUUCCUGGGCCAGAAAAAGGUUGGGAAAGAUCUGAGAGCUAAGGUGGAUAUCCAUAACACAAACGUGGGCAUCAAGGCUGUGAAAAAUGGCCUCAAGACCACUUGCAAGUGCCAUGGUGUGUCUGGUUCAUGCGCUGUGAGAACUUGCUGGAAACAGUUAUCUCCUUUCCAUGAGACAGGGAAGCUCCUGAAGCUACGCUACGAUGGUGCUGUCAAGGUCUUCAGCGCCACCAAUGAUGCUAUGGGACAAUCAGAGCUUGUGAGCCCCCAGCAUCAUGGCCGCUUAGCUAAAGGUCCUACUGUUCCACGCCCCACCGAUCUUGUUUAUAUGGAAGAUUCUCCUAGCUUCUGCCGAUCUAGUAGGUAUUCAGUGGGCACGGCUGGAAGGACGUGUUCCCGUGAGGCUAACUGUGACAGUAUGUGCUGUGGCCGGGGUUACAAUAUCCAGACCCACAUUGUUACCUUCUCUUGCCAUUGCCAGGUGCAAUGGUGCUGCUAUGUGGAAUGUCAGAAGUGCAUGCAGGAAGAAGUGGUUUACAGCUGCAAGCAAUAAGACACUGGGGAGUUGGAGAACAAUAACUAGUUUCCCUUAAGAUUGCAUGAUGACUUGGCUUCUUUGAUAUAGUAAUUUCCACCUUGAUAUUGGAUCUAAAACCUAAAAUAGGGGUAAUUUGUGCCAGGUCCAAGCAUUGGAAUUGCUGAUUUGGAGUCCAGCAGGCAAGGUGAAAGCAUAAAAUAAGUGUAACCCAACCCUUGAGACUGACUGCUUCUGCUUGACAGAGUUGGAGAAUUCUGCCUAGAAGAUGAUUAAGGACCUACCUUAUACUGCCAGGACCUUGGUUCAUCUGUCUUAGGGCUGUUUAUUCUGACCAAAAUAAGAUGCCUUUUUUAACCUGAGGCCUCUUCCAAGUGGAGGAAGUCCAGAAUUGAAAACUGAAACCUUAAUUGCAUGAAGUAUGAAUAAUUUUAUCCUGCGCUCCCUAAUUUUGUAAGUAGCAUUCCCUAACUUGAAUCUCUGCUGGUAAUAACUUCAUUUCCAAUGGUCAUUAGUUAUUUUGUUUGGGAAUUAUGAGGCUUGAGAUACAAUAAAUCUGAAAGCUCCAAGUUAGGAUGUUGUCAACCGCAGGAAAUCAGGAACCCAAGCAGUUCAAAUGAAUAUUUGUAACUAAUGCUCUCUGAAAGAAUCUGAACUUAUAUCACUCAAAACAAACUCGUGGUAGGUAAAGGUCAACAGAUGAUGCAUUUGACCCCUCCCUUAGGCUCAGCCUGGUCAUCUCCUACAGACGUGCUAUAUUAGACUAAGCAAAAUAUCUUGUUAAACGCAAAGAUCUGAGUAGCAACUAAUUAUAAAUAGCAAAAAGGUAAGAACAGUUUUGAAUAGAAGGCAAACAAACCAAAACUUCUCAUUUGUUCUUUGGUCCAAAAUCAUUAUAAGGCAUCUUCAGUCGGUAACAAUCCUAUUGUUCUAAAAGACCUGAAUCCUGUCCUGGGCCUUCUGGAAAAAAGUAGCUGAGUGACUCUGGGCAGCUGGUAUCUAUCUACAGAUAGUCCUUGACUUAUGAUCAUAAUUGAGCCCAUAAUUUUUGUUGCUAAGCAAAACAUUUGUUAAAGUUUUGCCCUGAUCUUUCUUGCCGCAAUUGUUACUGCAAUUAUUAAGUAGUAACAAAGUUGUGAAUCUGGUUUCCCCAUUGACUUUGCUUGUCAGAAGAUCACAAAAGGGGAUCACCUGGGACACUGCCACUGUCAUAAAUGUGAGCCAGUUGCCAAGCAUCCAAAUUUUUAGUUUGUAACCAUGGGAAUGCCGCAAUGGUUGUAAGUAUGAAAAACAAUCAUAAGUCACUUUUUUCAGUGCUGUUGUAACUUCAAACAGUCACUAAACGAAAGGUGGUUUGUCAAGGACUACCUAUACUUAUUGUUUAAGCACUGUGGACCACGACUAUCAUUUUUACUGAGAUAGAAAUAAAGCUACUGGAGAAAUUCAGGUAAAACUGGUCAACCAAAACUUGCAUGCUGAUCAAGUUUGUCCUCGAUCAGAGAGCUCCAGUGGAACAUUAUUUAUUCCCUGAUGUAUUUAGUGGUAAGGUCAAUGCUGAAAGCUACAUUCUUCAAGGCUGAGACAGAAUAAAGUGUGACCAAUAGAUAAGUUAGCUUGAGAAAGACUAUCAAUAUUUGUUAAGCUUUUGAGGAGUUGGGAGUUGGGAGGGGGCAAAGGGAAAUGUAUAAUUUUAGUUUAGUUUAGUGAAAUAUCCUACUUAAUAGUUAUUGAGAGCACAAGUGGAAGAUUUAAAGAGGCAAGCUUGGGAACAUAAGCACAUUCAGUAUAGUAAUUUCAGUACUUGAGAGGGUGAGAGAACAUAACUAAUAUGCAAUAAUUUGAAUAAAAUAGGAAUUAAAUUUCCUGGUUUUGAUGUCCUGGAAUACAAACUUUGUAAAAGCCAAACAACCUCUAGGAUCCAAUCAAUGGAUCUGACUCUGCUUGCCAAGUGGACUGCCUGGUCUGCAGUGCUCAAGCAGAAAAGCCCUUCCAGAAUUCUGUUCCUUUGUUACUGUCCCAUUUUGUUUCACUUGCAUCUUUUCUUUUUUCUCUCUCUCCAUUAAAAAAUGGAAGAUAUAAACGAAGCUGGCAGAUACAGAUUUUACUAAUCCUUCUGCCAGGAUGGUCCCUGUUUGUCCCUAUUCAGAGAAAUGGAUAUUGCUAAUAUUUUCUGGUUAAAUCCUCUCUGUAACAUCACCUGAUCUAUUAAACAAGAUUAGGAACAGAUUAGGGCCUAGAACAGAUCCAUUUCUCUGGUUUAGAAGAUGGCAAGCAGCUUGAACAUGAAUGUUUGAUAUAGUGGUUUAGGUACUUUGUUUCAUUAUGUCUUAUUAUUUUUUAGCAAGUAUUAAAAUUAGAAAAUAGCAUAGUUCUAGUUUAUGUAUUCUCCCAAAUUGUAGGAAUUACUAGAAUUCUUUACAUUUAAGAACUUUUAUGGCAUGCUUUGGGGUUAGUUUUCUUUGCAGAAUAUAGAUUUUUGUGGAAAUCAUUAAAAUUACUGUUAAUAGUAGUAUAUGAUCUGCAUAUAGAGAGCUAAAAAUAGAGUAUAAAUAUUGAGAUUUAGGGUUGAAGGAAUAGUAACUGAAAGCAUAUACUUCAUAAUCUAUGAGAAAUUAUUUUUCAGAGGAUAUUUCAGUAUUUCAAUCUCCCAGUUAAAUGUGUCUUAAAAAUAAAAAAAAUGGAGAUUUUAAAUUCUGACUUUUAGAGUUGCCUUCUACAAUUAGCAUCUGGGCAACUGACUAAGCAGAUCUACAAUUUAAUUAUUUCUGAGUUUAAAUUUGCAUAUCUAGAACUAGAAAUUAACACAAAUAAAGAUACAAAUAAAGGAGAAUAUUAAGGAGAACUAGAUACAAUUUAUAGAUAUACAUAUGGGACUAGAAAGAAAAUAAAUUGAAUUUCCUUUUUGGUAAAGCAUUAAAUAGCUACUUUGGUUAGUCACCUGAGAACAAAAGAUGGCUGAACUGAUUUUGUAAGCCAUUAAAAGUGGCUUUGGUGGACUGUGAUUUUGGUAGAUCACAAGCUGAGUGAGCCUGUAUAAAUCAUUGCUCACUGCCAACCUAAAUAAAUAAAAAAUGAUGUGAUAUUAUUAUCCUAUUAAUAAUAAUAUGUGGAAGCUAUUGGGAUACCUAGAAAGUUGUUAUAAUACAAGAUGACAAGUUAGUAGACCAAGAGAAUACGGAUAAAGAUUAACGGGUUGCAGUGAAAGAAAUGGGUAAAGAAAGAAAGAGCUUGGGUAGAACACCAUAGGUAGCUUUGUUUUUCAGUGUAGCCUAUCUCCCAGGUUUUCCAUGAGUAAAAAAUAAAAAGUUAACCUGAAGGAGUUAAAAAAAAAAGAAAGAAAAGAAAAUAACUGAUAUUCUGCACAGACUUUAAAUACACAGAAUAAAUGCAGGGCUAAAUCUCCACCUGAAAGGGUAGCCAUCAGACAAAUUUUUCUAAUUGCUGUAGGUACUUGGCUGCCAGCCUCAGAAUGGUACAAAUGCCACAUCCUGUCACGUAAGGUGUCCUAAGCCUAAAAACAAUGGAAGAUGUUUCAAUUUUGUUCGGUGGUGCUGCAAAUAUAAUGGGAGAGCAGAUUGCCUUGUUCUGAGGUUUGUGUGCCUCUCUUUCUGUCUGCUUCAGAGACCCCAUACAUACAGUAGUCUCUAUGCUCUACAACAGGGGUCUUCAAACUUGGCCCUUUUAUGACUUGUGGACCAACUCCCAGAAUUCUUCAGCCAACAUGCCUGGUUGAGAAAUUCUGGGAGUUGAAGUUUACAAGUCAUAAAAGGGCCAAGUUUGGUUGCUCUACAACCUUGGUGGAUCCUGAUUAUUUACUCCUGGAUGUCUUGCUCUGAAGCAAGGUGUUAAUUGGCAAAGUAAUCUAUCCUGGUGCAAAAAAAAAAAAAAGAGCACCCUUGUUGCAGGUGGUACCUCUUGCAUCAGUCCUGUACCUGUAUGUUUGUGAAGCAGUUUUUCAUCUAAAAUAUGGGUGUCCAACCUUUUGGCUUGCCUGGGCUGCAUUGAGUGAAGAGGAAUUAUCUUGGGCUCCAUAUAAAAUAUAUAAUAUAGUUUUAUAAUGUCAAAUUUACAUAAGAAUGUUAAUUAUUGGGGGCCAUGGGCUGGACACAUCUAAUCUAUACUUUUAAUGCAUGCAGGUGUAUAAGAAAUAGCAAAUGGAAUUUGGCACAGAGAACACAAGAAUAUUCAUAUAUUAACCUUGUAUUAACCACAUAUGAAGUUAAUGAUACAACAAAGCUAGAUAAUUUAGUUCUGCUCCUAGCUACUAGGAAGCUGCUAUUGGUGCUAUAAUACUUAGUGUACAAGAAUUCCAAGUUUCCACGCUACAUUACAUAUUUGGACUAUAUGCUCACAACAAGCAUAUCUUGAAUACUUCUCUUGCAAACCCAGUAUGACUUUGCCUUAUCAGAGUCCUGGUUCAUGGGCAAGCUGUUCCUUCUGCAGACAGUCAUAUUCAAUGUGCAAAUAUUUCCAGGAGGCUGAUGUCCCACAAGAGAUAUUGGAAAGGAGGGGACCAGACUUCUUUGAAGUGCAGACACGCCAGCAGCAAAAACCUUGAUGGAGAUUUCAAUCAGCUCCAGUGUCUGUGACUUGAAAAGGAGUGUGUUUACUUCUCACCCUAAUGUUGGAAUGAGAUGCGUCCUUGAAUGGGAACAAAUCCAUUUUCUGAAUUUUUCCAGGUGAGAGUAAGCUAUGACGCUAUUACUACCAUUCUCCAAUCCUGUAUAUGUAACACAUUAAUUCUCUGAGGAUCGUUCAAAUAUCCAGGUGAAGAGGACACUAUGUAAACAAGUUUUCACGUCAUACUUGGGUCACAAAUCCUCUGCUUCAUAAAUGCUGAGUAGAGAAUAGCCCACAUGCUAUAAAGUAGAAUUAAUAAGAAGACUGAUUUCUAUUAUACAACCUUAAAAUGUCAAAAAUUACUUUAUUGAAUCAACAGCAUAAAUAGCUGAUAACUGGCAAUCCUGUAAAAUACAUAGAAGCAGCAUUCAUACAACAUUUUAAGCAUAUUUAAGUCAAUGGCAAGCAUAUCUCUGAAUCUGAAAACCCAGGCAUGUCUAGGUUAUGGGGUCAUUUACCUGUCCAAUGCCUAAGUUUUAUCAUUGGCUAAGAUCACUAUCUAUGGUUCCUCAUGAAUAGACCCAGAGGGCACAGUUAUGUGGAGAUUAGCUCUCUCUUCCAAUUUCUGGCACAGAAACAGGAAGCUACGGUAUCCAUAAAAAUGGGUGUCCUCUAGUUGCUUUGUCUCUUUUCUUUCUAUUUUCCACCACAGAAUCUAAAAUCAGCAGAGGAAUGCGUAGGAUGAGUUGAAUCUUCCUUAAUCUCAUCCACAGCAGUUCUGACUCUAAUCCAGCUAGUAGAGAUAUUUUUAAAAAUUAAUUAUUGCAAAGUUGUUUCAAACACCAGCCCAAAUGAUUGCUACCAGAAUAACCAGGGAAAUCCUCUGUUUGGCCUGGAUCACCAGACAAGUACUUAAAUCAGACUUGGUUAGAACUGCCCCAAAUUUUCAUUUAAGUUUCAUUUCAGCUCUUUGUGAUUCUAUUACAAGGUCUUGAGUGGCGGUAGACGAUGGUAUGAGGUACUGAAUACAGAGCUGACUAUAUGCCCACUUCGCCUGCACUGCCCUAGUUAAGCUUAGCAAAUCUUGUAGAGCAAUGGGGAUGUCUUAUUCUAGAGCUAAAGUUUAACGUUCAAUUCCAAAGUGGUAAAUUUUGGGUGCAGAACCAUCUGAUUCUCUACUUCAAAUAGUACUAUAUAAAGUGGCCUUAUUCUUCCAUAAUUUCUCAUCCUUUUAUUUUAUUAAUUUGUGGGGUGGGAUAGGGCAGAGGGGAAUCCUUUUAUAAGCACUAGGAACAAAUUUUUAAAUCUGGAUAUCUGCACAGAGAAGUAGAAAAUUUGGUAAGAAGACAAUAAUUGAAAAGGAGCAAACAAUUUCAGAGCAACACAUGGUGGCUACUCCAUGGUAUUUUGACCACAGGGAAACCUUGAUAUAUAUUUGUUACAUUAACAAAUUAUUAUGAUUGCAAAAGAGAUUCUGUGCUGGAGCUUUAUUUCCUACCUCAAAAUGUAUAACAUUUGAGCAUAUUUAUAUUAUUUAUGAGUCUUGUACAUUUUUCAUAACAUUUGUGUAUUGGGUUGUUGAAAUGUAAAACUUUCAUACAUGACCUUUAAAUAAUACACAACUUCACAAUGAUAUUAUUUGCUUGCAAGAAACUCAUAUUACAGCUAAAGA